UACGAAGGGGGCGAGCGUUGUUCGGAUUUACUGGGCGUAAAGGGCGCGCAGGCGGCCGCAUUUGUCAGGCGUGAAAGCCCCGGGCUUAACCUGGGAACUGCGUUUGAUACGGUGUGGCUAGAGUUCGGGAGAGGAGAGUGGAAUUCCCAGUGUAGAGGUGAAAUUCGUAGAUAUUGGGAAGAACACCGGUGGCGAAGGCGGCAUUCUGGACCGAUAUUGACGCUGAGGAGCGAAAGCCAGGGGAGCAAACGGG
rnacentral:rRNA from 1 species